GUCCUAGGUGGACGAAAAGAAUUAGGAAGCUUCCAGUAUCGAAGAUUGCCCUCAUCUACGCUGAGCAGGAAGCUGUACAACAACCGGUCUGACAAGUUACAAGUGGUGAACCUACAUCACCUAGAAUCUAGAUGUACAGUUAACAACUCUACCUCGAUUCGAUGCAGUGGGAGAGGUUGAAGUUGACGUUCAAGCAGUCACCCUGGCGAACAAGAAAUCUUUCAGGCCAAGAGGUUAGGUGACUAGAAACUCAAUCACUAUAUCCGUGAAACUUGUCGGGAGCACUGUCAUUUGUGGAGGUCGGACCGAGACUGUAAUCAGACACUAAACAUUGACGAGGACCAAUUACUCUACUCCUUCAAUGAUUAAUAAAGAUCGCUGAUUGCUUUUACCAAUGUAUAACUAGUGUUAAAAUGAAAGAGAACUUGUUGAGACGAAAGAGAAAAAUGCACUCAUUUAUUUAUAGUUUUAUGUCUUGACAAUGAUAUUCGAAAGCUAAUUUUAAACACUGGCUCUGAACCCUUGCUAAAUGAUUUAGGAAGGUGUACGGGAUAAAUAUGCCUGUAGACAUCAUUUUCAGUGGGUUUUAUAAAGUUUAUGAUUAGGGUAUAUUUUGGGACUGAAAUAAGCGCAAGACCUUCGACGUUUCUAUUGCUACUGUUUUUUUAAUUUAGCAAAUAUACAAACAAAUUUUAUACUGUCGUAAAGAUAAAAUAUUUAGUUAUCUGAUAGAGACU